AAAAGGGCAUAUGCGAUCACACAGAGACGGCGUUGCUGCGGCUUUGACCCUAUGGUGCACCCGACAGAACACAGAGGGUGAAGGGAGAGAUCCAGGAAGAGGUCGCGGAGCAGAACUUCCUUUCACUGAAGUUAAAAAGAUAAAAUGGAGCUGCUAGAAAUAGCAAAAGCCAGCCCAGCUAAAUCUUUAGGAAUAGCCAACCCUGACUUGCCAGAUGGUCUCAGAACUGUUCCUAUCCUUAAAGAAACAAACUGCAACAGCCGUACUAUAUGCCACAAAGUUCAAGGUAAGUACUUCAGGUGUAUCCAAACAAAACCUUCCAAAAGAUCUGGUUAAAAGUUUUUAUUUGAUUUAACUUCUAUACUUCUCAGAAAGGCUAACUAUAAUUUGCUAAAGUCAAAGUAGCAAGCAGAUUUGGAAAUAGUAAACAGGCUCUCACCCAUGAAAAUGGGAGGGGAAUGAACUUUACUUUUGGUGAGCCUGGAACUGUCCCUGAAAGUCCCACAUUCUAGGAAACUCCUGAGUGCAAAAAGUCCUGAUUUUCAGCAAUGAGUGAGGAAAGUUGGGGAUGGGAGGAAUACAAAAACUGUAUGGUGCCUCCCCCCACCCAAAAAGAGACUGAAGACAAGCCUUAAGUGAAUAUGGCGAUUGUCUGCCUUCUGUUAACCUCUGAAUUGGCAGCCAUGACUUGUGGUCCACAAUAAUGGAUCAUCCAUUGUUACAUCCUCUCAGAGCAAUUUUAAGUUCUAAGUAUGUACAGUGUAAGUCCUAAUCUUGAGUGUUAACAGUCUACUUAACUGUGUGCUUUGUAUGUAGAAAGACAGUAAACUUUGUGAAUUGUGACCAUGUUUUCUUAGAGUUCAGAUAAUGAAACUCAUGACAAGUAUAAUACCAACGCCAGUAUGACCUAGACAAUACCAAAAAAAAAAGGCUAAACGGCUAUGUUAUUUUAAUGACAGAUGGAAGGACAUAUACAGCUGGAUUAGGGAGGAACAGAAACCUCAGACAGCCCUGAGAGGAGGACAGCAGGAGCCAGUCUCACAAACGCAAUGACAGGGCCUUCCAAAAAGCCUUCUCCCAUGAGAACACUAGAUGCCGGCUGGGCACGGUGGUUCACGCCUGUAAUCCCAGCACUUUGGGAGACCCAGGCAGGCGGAUCACAAAGUCAGGAGUUCGAGACCAGCCUGGCCAACAUUGUGACACCUAGUCUCUACAAA